UACGGAGGGGGCUAGCGUUGUUCGGAAUUACUGGGCGUAAAGCGUGUGUAGGCGGGCCCGUAAGUGUCUUGUGAAAUCCCACGGCUCAACCGUGGAACUGCUGGGCAUACUGCGGGUCUUGGGCCAACUAGGGGCAGCCGGAACAAGCGGUGGAGCGGUGAAAUGCGUAGAUAUCGCUUGGAACGCCGAAGGUGAAAACAGGCUGCUGGGGUUGCGCCGACGCUGAGACACGAAAGCCAGGGGAGCAAACGGG
rnacentral:rRNA from 1 species